rnacentral:rRNA from 1 species
UACGUAGGGUGCGAGCGUUUGUCCGGAAUUAUUGGGCGUAAAGAGCUCGUAGGCGGUCUGUCGCGUCUGCUGUGAAACCCGAGGCUCAACCUCGGGCCUGCAGUGGGUACGGGCAGACUAGAGUGCGGUAGGGAGAAUGGAAUUCCUGGUGUAGCGGUGGAAUGCGCAGAUAUCAGGAGGACACCGAUGGCGAAGGCAGUUCUCUGGCCGUAA